GACGAACGCUGGCGGCGUGCUUAACACAUGCAAGUCGAACGGAAAGGCCCUGCUUUUGUGGGGUGCUCGAGUGGCGAACGGGUGAGUAACACGUGAGUAACCUGCCCUUGACUUUGGGAUAACUUCAGGAAACUGGGGCUAAUACCGGAUAGGAGCUCCUGCUGCAUGGUGGGGGUUGGAAAGUUUCGGCGGUUGGGGAUGGACUCGCGGCUUAUCAGCUUGUUGGUGGGGUAGUGGCUUACCAAGGCUUUGACGGGUAGCCGGCCUGAGAGGGUGACCGGCCACAUUGGGACUGAGAUACGGCCCAGACUCCUACGGGAGGCAGCAGUGGGGAAUAUUGCACAAUGGGCGGAAGCCUGAUGCAGCAACGCCGCGUGCGGGAUGACGGCCUUCGGGUUGUAAACCGCUUUCGCCUGUGACGAAGCGUGAGUGACGGUAAUGGGUAAAGAAGCACCGGCUAACUACGUGCCAGCAGCCGCGGUGAUACGUAGGGUGCGAGCGUUGUCCGGAUUUAUUGGGCGUAAAGGGCUCGUAGGUGGUUGAUCGCGUCGGAAGUGUAAUCUUGGGGCUUAACCCUGAGCGUGCUUUCGAUACGGGUUGACUUGAGGAAGGUAGGGGAGAAUGGAAUUCCUGGUGGAGCGGUGGAAUGCGCAGAUAUCAGGAGGAACACCAGUGGCGAAGGCGGUUCUCUGGGCCUUUCCCUGACGCUGAGGAGCGAAAGCGUGGGGAGCGAACAGGCUUAGAUACCCUGGUAGUCCGCGCUGUAAACGGUGGGUACUAGGUGUGGGGUCCAUUCCACGGGUUCCGUGCCGUAGCUAACGCUUUAAGUACCCCGCCUGGGGAGUACGGCCGCAAGGCUAAAACUCAAAGGAAUUGACGGGGCCCCGCACAAGCGGCGGAGCAUGCGGAUUAAUUCGAUGCAACGCGUAGAACCUUACCUGGGUUUGACAUGGAUCGGGAGUGCUCAGAGAUGGGUGUGCCUCUUUUGGGGUCGGUUCACAGGUGGUGCAUGGCUGUCGUCAGCUCGUGUCGUGAGAUGUUGGGUUAAGUCCCGCAACGAGCGCAACCCUUGUUCACUGUUGCCAGCACGUUAUGGUGGGGACUCAGUGGAGACCGCCGGGGUCAACUCGGAGGAAGGUGGGGAUGACGUCAAGUCAUCAUGCCCCUUAUGUCCAGGGCUUCACGCAUGCUACAAUGGCUGGUACAGAGAGUGGCGAGCCUGUGAGGGUGAGCGAAUCUCGGAAAGCCGGUCUCAGUUCGGAUUGGGGUCUGCAACUCGACCUCAUGAAGUCGGAGUCGCUAGUAAUCGCAGAUCAGCAACGCUGCGGUGAAUACGUUCCCGGG
rnacentral:rRNA from 1 species